rnacentral:rRNA from 1 species
CCUACGGGUGUCAGCAGUAGGGAAUAUUGCUCAAUGGGGGAAACCCUGAAGCAGCAACGCCGCGUGGAGGAUGACGGUUUUCUGAUUGUAAACCUCUGUUGUUAGAGACGAAAAUGACGGUAUCUAACGAAUAAGCACCGGCUAACUCCGUUCCGGCAGCCGCGGUAAUACGGAGGGUGCCAGCGUUACUCGGAAUCACUGGGCGUAAAGAGCGCGUAGGCGGGAUAGCAAGUCGGAUGUAAAAUGCUAUGGCUUAACCGUAGAACUGCAUUUGAAACUGUUAUUCUAGAGUGCGGGAGAGGUAGGUGGAAUUCUUGGUGUAGCGGUGAAAUCCGUAGAUAUCAAGAGGAAUACCCAUGGCGAAGGCGGUUGGCGGGAACGUAACUGACGUUGAUGCGCGAAAGCGUGGGGAGCAAACAGGAUUAGAUACCCGGGUAGUC